rnacentral:rRNA from 1 species
UACAGAGGGGGCAAGCGUUAUUCGGAAUUAUUGGGCGUAAAGAGCGCGUAGGCGGCCUUGCAAGUGACGGGUGAAAUCCCUCGGCUUAACCGAGGAACUGCCUGUCAGACUGUAAGGCUUGAGACCGGGAGAGGUGAGUGGAAUUCCCAGUGUAGCGGUGAAAUGCGUAGAUAUUGGGAGGAACACCAGUGGCGAAGGCGGCUCACUGGACCGGAACUGACGCUGAGGCGCGAAAGCGUGGGGAGCAAACAGG